CCUACGGGAGGCAGCAGUGAGGAAUAUUGGUCAAUGGCCGGAAGGCUGAACCAGCCAUGCCGCGUGAAGGUCAGUGCCCUAUGGGCGUUAAACUUCUUUUGUGCGGGAGCAAUAAUGGUCACGUGUGGCCAGACGAGAGUACCGUAUGAAUAAGCAUCGGCUAACUCCGUGCCAGCAGCCGCGGUAAUAGUGGGGAUGCAGGCGUUAUCCGGAUUUAUUGGGUUUAAAGGGUGCGUAGGCUGUGAGGUAAGGCAGCGGGGAAAUGCCCCCGCUCAACGGGGUGAAGUGCCAUUGAUACUGGCUUGCUGGAAUGCGGAUGCCGUGGGAGGAAUGUGUGGUGUAGCGGUGAAAUGCAUAGAUAUCACACAGAACACCGAUUGCGAAGGCAUCUCACGAAUCCGCGAUUGACGCUGAGGCACGAAAGCGUGGGUAUCAAACAGGAUUAGAUACCCGAGUAGUC
rnacentral:rRNA from 1 species